AAUUUAAAAUUUUGGGGUGUUACAGGUACACUGUGUGAUAUAUCUUACUCGGUUAUAUUAUACUGUAGACGGGUAAAGGGUGUCACAAUUCUGCUAUGCCUUUUUCCACAAUAGCACUAACCUCAUCUUCUGACACAUUGGCGUCGCUACCCCUAGAGGAGCACACCUCACCAUCAUAUUUGUUGGGUACAUGCUUUUGCACAUGAAGGUUACGGAAAAGAGAAGGAAGAGAGUCACAACAAGACUCUUAUAUGGCUAAGAUCUGGAAACGAACAUUGUCAAUGUCGACUGCUAUGAUUUUCCUUAAAAAAUAGAAAGAGCUAGUUAAGACCAAGAGUCUAGCAGAAUCAAGUCUUGAUUUUGUCUGGGUAACAUUGUCAAUAGAAAUGAAUUCCCCCAAAAAAUUCCCAAUCCAUUUGAAAAAAUCAGGGGACUAGACAUUAAGAGAUACACCUUAAAGAUGAAUCAAUACCAAAUGCUUCUGAAGAGUAUAAGUAGCUUUCCAAGGCUUUACAUCACUGAACCACUGAUCAAGAUAAUUAGAAGAAAGAAACCAUAAAGAAACCAUCCAUAAUCUCCUUUGUAUCAAAUGUAAGUAAAACGAGAUUGCCUCCGAAAGGAGAAAUUUCAACCGAGAAAAUUCCAUCUGCUAUUAGAUAUUAUUGCAAGUUUGACAUAGUAUGCAGGUUUAGAAUAGUUGUAAUCACAGAGCGCAAAAGCCACUCAUGAUUUUCAUUGGCAACAUUAUCUGAUGCAGCAUAUCGUCUUGCCACAAAGAAGCCCAUUUGCUCUACAUUCUGUCGCUGCAUGCCAGGGAAAAUAUCAAAGCCCCCAUGAACCAAGCCAGACUGACCAUUACUAUGCUUUGCAUUAUUGACAUGAAUAGACCUUCUCAACAUAGCACGAUCUCUAGAGUUGUGUUCAGUAGCAGAAUAGGACCUCCUUUCAUAUUUUGAUUGAAAAGCCCAAAGUUUAUAUGUUCCAAUCCAAAUGUUAUUGGUAGCCUUUAGGAUCCUAUGAAAACAAGCAGGAGGUGGAGUCCUAAACAAACCAAAUCUUCUUCCUCUGCAGGUAAGUUUACCUGGAAUAAAAAUUUCUUCAAUAUCUCAAAACCUAGAGAAAACUCUCCAAAGAUCCCUUGAUGACCAUCCUGUUGGGAAAUUUUCAAAGUAAAUGGUUAGGGAGCUAGACUUUGGGUGAGAGGUGGGGUUACGUGAAAUGUUGGGAGAGGGCUACAUUUGCAAUCAGUUCCAAAGUUUCUCACAUGUGCAUCACUUGUUGAAAACAUUAGGUGCACAAUUUAUAGUAAGAAAAACAAAGAACAAAGCAACCACAUAUUGCAAGCAGACCAGAGAACCAUUAUUCCUCCAAGAAUUGAAUUUUUAAAAGCCACAACCCUACCUUAAAGAGAUAAUUACACAAAGCCCAUUCUCAUACCACAUACUAUCAAUAAAAGUCAUAUUUCAUCCUCUAUUAAACACUUAAGCCACCUACCACCUGAAUGCAUUAAGAAGUGUCACUUUCCAACACACCUAGAUUCUAGCAAACAAACACUUGAGAACCACUCCAAGCUCAUAAAACAGCCACCACUUAACUUUUAGUUUGAUUUAAAUACUAAUAGAUAUUGGCCAAUAAUUCAAUUGGCUCCUUAUUCCCAUUAUGAACAUUCAUAAUACAUGACCAAAAAAAUAAUCUGAACACACAGGACAAGUACACAUAAAAAGCACAUCAACAUCUUGCUCAGCCAAAAGCAAUUGGUGUGGAAUAUGGCUCCUAAUCUCCAAACACAUUAGUAAUUGUUGCAAUGGGCAGCAAAGGUUUUCCCAAUUUAGAGGCACUUGACAUCACACCAUAAAGUCGAACUGAUAAAGCCAGAAUGCGAGCUAUUAAACGAGCUUGGAUGGACACAUGCUUUACAACUGUGGGAACAUAGGGAUCUAGAAUAGUGACAGAUGCAUCAACCGUGUGGUCUGCAAACUUGAGAGCCUUAUUGGGAACAUCAUGGAACUUAGAAUAGAUAGGUCUAACCACGCUCUUAACCGUAACCUCAACAGUGUUGACACCAGGCUUCAAUGGACCAGACUUGUCCUUGGCAUAAAGAUAGAGCUUUGAGAAAGAACCCACUGCAUAAAUUGUAGCAUCUUGCACAAAUUCCAAAUAUUUCAACCUCUCUUCCUCCUCAUUACCCUAAAUAAUUCAAUUUUUCCAUAGCUAUGUUAAUUAAGAUAUUCAAUAAAUGAACCAAAUAUUUAAUUAUUUCACAAAAUCACCCCCAUAAAAUUGAAUAUAAUGAGGAAUCAUAGUUAAUACAAUUAAUUUGGUAGUUUGCUGUGCAACCUUCUGUCCAACGCUCUGAAAAAUGCAUAGUUAUAAAAAAAUAUAUAGUUAAUUUAGUUUGGAUCAAAGAACAAUUGCAUGAAACAAUAUAAAAAAUGAUGGAAAAAAAUUCAUAAAGAAAUUUGAGAGCACAUACCACUACCGCUUGUUGUAGGAUAUUCUCAACAAUACUCGAAGCUUCUGAGACAGCACUUAACGCCCCUUGUUGGAUAUUCUCGGCUCCUUUGGCUGCUUCUUCAAC
rnacentral:misc_RNA from 1 species